GACGAACGCUGGCGGCGUGCUUAACACAUGCAAGUCGAGCGGUAAGGCCCUUUCGGGGGUACACGAGCGGCGAACGGGUGAGUAACACGUGGGUGACCUGCCCUCAGCUCUGGGAUAAGCCUGGGAAACCGGGUCUAAUACUGGAUAUGACUCCAUGACGCAUGUUGUGGGGUGGAAAGCCUUGUGCGGCUGAGGAUGGGCCCGCGGCCUAUCAGCUUGUUGGUGGGGUGANGGCCUACCAAGGCGACGACGGGUAGCCGGCCUGAGAGGGCGACCGGCCACACUGGGACUGAGACACGGCCCAGACUCCUACGGGAGGCAGCAGUGGGGAAUCUUGCGCAAGUGGGACGAAAGCCUGACGCAGCGACGCCGCGUGAGGGAUGACGGCCU
rnacentral:rRNA from 1 species